rnacentral:rRNA from 1 species
UACAGAGGGUGCAAGCGUUGUUCGGAAUUAUUGGGCGUAAAGGGUGCGUAGGCGGUGCGGUAAGUCUUCUGUGAAAUCUCCGGGCUCAACUCGGAGUCUGCAGAGGAAACUGCCGUGCUGGAGUAUGGGAGAGGUGAGUGGAAUUCCCGGUGUAGCGGUGAAAUGCGUAGAUAUCGUAAGGAAGACCAGUGGCGAAGGCGGGUCUCUGGACAGUUCCUGACGCUGAGGCACGAAGGCCAGGGGAGCAAACGGG